rnacentral:misc_RNA from 1 species
CUCUCUCUCUCUCUCGGCUAUUUGUGCUCAGUGGUCACAGUACCAGUCACUAUUCCAUUGCGAUGUCGCGCUUGCAUAUGCUUCAGGUACCCACAAGAGUGACAGAGUAAUGGAACAGAGGUCGCUCUUUGUAUAGGGUUCUUUUUGUAGAUCUUGUUUUUGACCUUCAAGACUACAAAACCCACAGGUUUAUUCUCUUUUCCCUUCAAAAAAACCAUGGGCACCGAAAUUUGCCUCCGAAUUUUGCUUCCUUUUUAUCCGGGUUUUCAUUGAUUCCUCUGCUUUAAUUUUUUUUUUUGUUUGUUCCCCUGAAAUGUGAGAAAAUUCUAGCAUUUUUUUCUGGGAAAAGUUGUGGUUUUGCUUGGUUUUAUGAUCUGGGUUUUUCCGUUUGUUUCAUUGGGUUAGUGAAACACAUAAAAUGGAGCAAGAUCACGAAAGGAAGCAUGUGUGCAAAUUGUGCAACAAGAGUUUCUUGAGUGGGAGAAUCUUGGGGGGUCACAUGAGGAUUCACGUAGCUAGAGAUUCAGCUAAAGAAGAGGUUAAGCUUGAAAACGGCAAUCUGAGUAUCGAAGGUUAUGGCCUAAGAGAAAACCCCAAGAAAUCUUGGAAAUCCUCGGGCUUGAACCAUAAUGACAGUGUCUCCGUUCAAGAAAGUUUGGAAUGCAGAGUGUGUGGCAAACAAUUUGAGUUCCCAAGAUCUCUCCAUGGUCACAUGAGGCAUCACUCGGUGGAAGAAAGGAAAGGAAUUCGCUGCAAAGAAUGUGGGAAAGGGUUCCGGACACUAAGAUCUCUUACUGGUCACAUGAGGCUGCACUCUGAUAAGUAUAAAGUCUCCAGAGAAUCAAUGACCGGUUCAAGGCCUAGCUUGGUUGUAAUGACUUUAUCAGAUACUGGGACUGCGGGUCUUGUGCGAAGGAAGAGAUCAAAUAGAAUAAGGUACAAGGUUACUCCUAAUUCCUCAUUUUCUAGCUUGAAUGAAUCUGCAUCUGGUUUUGAAGUUGAGGAAGAAGUGGAAGAGGUGGCUAUGUGUUUGAUGAUGCUGUCUAGGGGCGUAUGCAAAUGGGGUGAAUUUAAAUCAAUUGGUGAGUCUUUGGAUAAUAGUUCUGUGUCCUUUGGCUUUGAGGUUAAAUCUUUGCACCAAAGUAACCCAACUGGGGGGAGAAGUGAGGAUGGAGACUAUGUUUUGGAGGAUGAUGAACCUGUCAAGAAGAAAAAGCCAAGAGAGCAGAAGUUAGAUCCUUGUGCUUCAGAUUCUAAGAAUAAGACCUCUGAAUGUAGUGAUUGUGAUUCUGAUAUGGUGUGUAACAAAGAAAAGAAGAUUGCGUUGGAAGUUCCUAUUGAGAAUUUUUAUCAGGGAGUUGAUUCCAAGGGGCCUAAACCGGAGGAUGAAUCUGGAUUGCUUUUGUGUGAUACUGAGACAGAGAAGGGAAUUCAUGAUGCAGUGGAUAGCGCCACUGAGUCAGAAUCAAGCCAGGAGUUUACCGAAGAAGUUGGAUUGGGUCUUUCUGGUUUGGGAUAUGUAAAAUGCACUCGAAGCAAGAAAGCCACUUUUGAAGCUUGUGAUGCUAAAAUGGGGAAGGAUUCUUGCACUGAGGUGAUAUGUUCAACUUCAGAUUUUGAUACUGCAGAUGAUUCUAAGAAGAGCCAAUUCCAGUGCCGGAUCUGCAACAAGAUUUUUCCCACUUAUCAGGCACUUGGUGGCCACCAAACAUUUCAUAGAACAACAAAAAGUUCCGUUGCUUUAAAGAUUGAGCAGCUGCAAGAGGAUAUUGAGACUAAACUUUUGCCUGACAAAAUUGACCUUUCAAGCAAGCUCGUCAAUCUUGAAUGCAUUAAGGAUUCAGGGAAAGAGGAAGUAAAUGGAGUGAUUAUGACAAGUUUUCAGUCUAAGAAGAGCAAGGAGCAUAAAUGCCACAUCUGCUCUAAAAAUUUUGUGUCGGGCCAAGCUUUGGGAGGUCACAAGAGGGCUCAUCAUUCUAAAGCAAGAGAAGAGCAGAAUAUGGCAAUGAAACAAGAGGAUCUUGAUAUUUGUGAUGCACCUGAUAUUAAUGUCCCUGGCAUGCUUCAUACAGAGGCCAAUUGUGAAUUUGGGUUCGAGUCAUGGAGGGCUGGAAUUCGCAGCUACAAACACGAGUCAUUGGUGGAUCUUAUAGCUAACUGAGGCUAAUAAUACAGCAUCUGGCUUCUGAAGACUGAAGAUUUGAAUAAAGUAGAGAAUAUGGUGGAUUUCAUUACUGGUUCAAGGAUAAUCCGCUUGGAUAUAGAGCUUGACUUUGCUGCUUAUAGCUUAGAACUGACUGCUACCCUUAUCUGGUUUAUUCUCUUACAUUUAACAUCUUUUUGUCUUUGAUCUGAAAGAAGUUCAUUAUCAAUAGUCUUCGAAAUUUUGAUACUGAAAUAGGAUUUGUUUUGUUCCUUGUGCAUUUUAGUUUUCUUAUAGGUAUGUCAAAAGGAAGAUAUUGAACAGAAAAACUAUUGUUGAUUCUACAUUGAGUUCCCAGUUUUGGCUUCUCAUUCUUUUGUACCAAGCGUUUGAACAAAAUGCAAUAUACUUCUUU